AAAAAUAUUGAAACUUACCAGAAUUGAUUUUGAAGAGGUUUAAUACUGUGUAUCUCCCAGACUAGCAAAAUGAUUUUUGAGGAGAAGAAUGAUGGUGGUGGUGGUGAUGAUGGGGAUGAUAAUGAUGAUGAUAUAAUGAAAUGGACAGGAUUGAAAUCUCACAUGGGUGGAAAGGGAAUAAUAACCAUAAACCUUAAUCUGGAGAAGAAGUUUUGAUGCUGGAAGUGAGCAUCAGCUAUUGAGAUAGGCCUGCUCAGUUAAUAUGGCUUCCUGGCCAGUAGGCAUUCUGUACCAACUUCUAAUAGAAAUGAGGCAAGGACAAACUUGGAUCAAGAGGACCCAUUUGGGUGAGGGACCAGGUGGUUUCCAAUCCAGUGUGGACAGCAAAUGAAUGCUAUGCAGGCAUGCAGAUGAGAUCUGUACUAUAGUCUACAAUUUGUAUCCUGUCUCUCCCACCACCCCCGGCAGUGUCCAGACAGGAGAGCAGAUGCCACUCUCCCCUUUUACCAUGACCUUGACACAUGAGCACAUGAAGGAAGGUAGCCAGGGGGCAUUUGCUGUCCAAAAAAAUGUUAUGAGCAGAAGAGAUUUUUACAGUAACAUAAAAGCAGAAUUCUUAUGUUGAUAUUAACCUGCAAAUGGACUGUCAGCACCAGGUGGUGUCUUCUAACUCUGGUCCUUACAUCACAGAGAAAAGCCACCUUGCCCGUUUUUCCUCCAUUCUGUGAACUUCCCUGGUGAGAGAAGAAGGAGGACUGGGCAUGAACUGAGGAUUGUAUUGAAGACUGUGGUUUUUAAGCCUCGCUGUAAAGAAAGGCCAUGCUUUUGUGUUAGUGGAGACAGUCUAGAGUUGCUCAGAAUCUUGUAGGGUUUUCUGAUCUGGUUACCUCUAGCUGCCAUGUGGGGUCCACCUCUUGCCUCAGCAACUUUCCAGGACCUUUGAACUUGCCAGAUACCUUAAGUGUCUUCCCAGAAUCUGCCCACCUGUCAUCAGCCCCCCAGCCCCCCACCACUCAGGGACACUCUGCUAAUAGACACAAGCUAAGGAAAGCAGCACCGUAGCCUGACAUAGUGCAGACCUUGUAAAGCAAGAGUAGCUGGCAUCUCUUAAGUCACUGAUGCCAUUUCAUACAGGUGCUAGCUGUCUUUCUGUGGUUUGAAGGAAAGUUAUUGUCACGUGGUUUGUUUUCCUCAAAAUGAAGGGAUAGGACAAAAGAGACAAUCAAAUAUGGAGCUUAGCAUAGCUAGAAUGGCAUGAUGUCACUGUUCUUUUCCUGUGGCUUUUUAUUGUUGUUUCUCAUCAUUCUCACCUCGAGGAAGAGCAAGAGACUUAACCAGCAGGGCAAAUUCCACUUGCAGACAUCCUUUACUCUGUGGUCCCUUGUUAGUACCGAAGUGCAAAAAAGAAAUGCAGUUCUGUGUUUGGAACAAGAAGCAUCUCAGCAUUCUGUGAGAUCUGCAUGGAUCCUGUGGGUGGAGUCAGCAGGAACAAAGGGUUUUCCAUGGUAUUGAUGCUACCUCAGGUCUCUAAGAUGCACAUGAGUCAGCACAGGUGGCACUGUCUCUCCCUUGGUCCUUCAGGACCAUAGCAGAUCCUGCAGGUUGACACGAAGUAGACCAUAAUGUUGUGUGUUGGGAUUGGGGCAGGGGAGGGGGCUCUUUGUUGGGUUAAGGGUGCUGCAGAGAUGGCUUGAGGGUCAGGAGUACAAAGCCUUCCUGUAGAUGGCCAGAGUUUGGAUUCUAGUGCUCGUGCUGAGUGGCACACACUCAAACAUUACUCUCUCUUGGGAGUCUGACAUCCUCCACUGUCCUCCAUGGGCACCCGUGCUCACAUGCACAGACGCAAACACAGUUGUCAUACAUGCCACCACACAAAGACAUACACAUAUGCACAUAAUUAAAAACUAAAAAUGAAUCAUAAAAAACAAAUGGGUACAUGAUAUGGUAAGAUAAAUGAGGGGGAAAAAAACUAAAAAUAUGCUUUUGUCCCAAAUAUCUCAUUUUACAAGGUAGUUUAAAUUGUGUUAAAAUCACUAGCAAGAAGUAUAUAUUUUCUUUGAUUUUUAUUUUCAUUUUCCUUUGCCUGUAUUUAUCAAAGAAAAAGACCAAAAGAUGAUGGU
rnacentral:lncRNA from 1 species